UACGACCGUAAAAAAAAUUUUGUGGUCAUAUAUUGGUAUGACGUUGGCGUCGUCGGCGUCGUCCGAAGACACAUUGGUUUUCGCACUCUAACUUUAGUUUAAGUGAAUGGAUCUCUAUGAAAUUUUACUACAAGGUUCAAUACCACAAAAGGAAGGUUGGGAUUGAUUUUGGGGGUUAUGGUACCAACAGUAAAGGAAAAAGGGCCAAAAAUAAGCAUUUUUGUAACUUCCAGACAUAACUUGUGUGUUAGUGUAUGGAUCUCUCUGACAUUGUACCACAAGGUUCCAUAUCACAAAAGGAAUGCUGGGAUUGAUUUUGGGGGUAAUUGCCUCAAAAUUUUAGGAAUUAGGGGCCAAAAAAGGGGCAAAAAACAAGCAUUUUUCUAGUUUCAUGACAAUAACUUGUGUGUAAGUGUAUGGAUCUUUCUGAAAUUGUACUACAAGGUACCAUAUCACAAAGGGAAAGCUGGAAUUGAGUUUGGGGGUAAUUGCCGAAACAUUUAGGAAUUGGGGGCCAAAAAGGGGCAAAAAACAAGCAUUUUUCUAGUUUCAGGACAAUAACUUGUGUUCAAGUGUAUGGAUCUCUCUGAAAUUGUACUGCAAGGUACCAUACCACAAAGGGAAGGCUGGGAUUGAGUUUGGGGUAAUUGCCCUAAACGUUUAGGAAUUUGGGGCCAAAAAGGGGCCAAAAAACACAUUUUUCUAGUUUCCAGACAAUAACUUGUGUUCAAGUGUAUGGAUCUCUCUGAAAUUGUACUGCAAGGUACCAUACCACAAAGGGAAGGCUGGGAUUGAGUUUUGGGGUGAUGAAUCAUAAGGGGGUUCAAAAAAUUGGGGGGGGGGGGAUUUUUUUUUUUUUUUCCUUUUUUUUCUUUUUUUCCUUUUUUUUUUCUUUUAAAAUUUUCCAUUUUAAGUUGGUUAUUUCUGAUUCAUAUUUAAAAGCAAAUAAUAAUGAUAUGAUAGGAGAUACACACCAAACAGGAUGUGUAAAUUAUUAUAUAAUAAGUAUUGUGCAAUAGCAAGAAAUUUUCAAUUGCACAGUAUUGCACAAUUGCAAGAAAUCUUCAACUGCACAGUAUUGCGCAAUAGCAAGAAAUCUUCAAUUGCACAGUAUUGCGCAAUAGCAAGAAAUAUCCAGUAGCACAAUAUUGCGCAAUAGCAAGAAAUUGUCAAUUGUACAGUAUUGCGCAAUAGCAAGAAAUAUUUAAUUGCACAGUAUUGUGCAAAAGAAGAUACUUCCUAUAAAUUGCUUAUUUCUUGACCAAUUUCAAUGGGGUUUUAUUCUUGAAUUCUUGGGGUUCUUUAAUAUGCUGAAUCUAACCGUGUAUUUAGUUUUUGGAUUUUGGGCCCCGUUUUUAAAUUGGUCCACAUUGAGGUCCAAAGGGUCCAAAAUUAAACUUAGUUUGAUUUUAACAAAAAUUGAAUUCUUAGGGUUCUUUGAUAUGCUGAAUCUAAACAUGUAUUUAGAUUUUUGAUUAUGGGCCCAGUUUUCAAGUUGGUCCAAAUCGGGGUCCAAAAUUAAACUUUGUUUGAUUUCAACAAAAAUUGAAUCUAACCAUGUAUUUAGAUUUUUGAUUUUUGGGCCCCGUUAUCAACUUUGUCCACAUUGAGGUCAAAAGGGUCCAAAAUUAAACUUUGUUUGAUUUCAUCAAAAAUUGAAUUCUUGGGGUUCUUUGAUAUGCUGAAUCUAACCAUGUAUUUAGAUUUUGGAUAUUGGACCAUAAUAGGUGAAUGUCCAAUUUAAAAUUUUUAAGUUCUUAGACCACAUUCAUUCUGUGUCAGAAACCUAUGCUGUGUCAAAUAUUUAAUCACAAUCCAAAUGCAAAGCUGUAUCAAGCUUGAAUGUUGUGUCCAUACUUGCCCCAACUUUUCAGGGUUCGACCUCUGCGGUCGUAUCAAGCUGCGCCCUGCGGAGCAUUUUAUUUGAAAAUUG